rnacentral:tRNA from 4 species
UCCGACUUAGCUCAGUUGGUAGAGCAUCUGACUGUUAAUCAGGUUGUCGCCGGUUCGAGCCCGGCAGUCGGAG